rnacentral:rRNA from 1 species
CCUGCAGUCGACGGUAACAGGUUAAGCUGACGAGUGGCGAACGGGUGAGUAAUGUAUCGGAACGUGCCCAGUAGUGGGGGAUAGCCCGGCGAAAGCCGGAUUAAUACCGCAUACGACCUACGGGUGAAAGCGGGGGAUCGCAAGACCUCGCGCUAUUGGAGCGGCCGAUAUCAGAUUAGGUAGUUGGUGAGGUAAAGGCUCACCAAGCCGACGAUCUGUAGCUGGUCUGAGAGGACGACCAGCCACACUGGGACUGAGACACGGCCCAGACUUCUACGGGAGGCAGCAGUGGGGAAUUUUGGACAAUGGACGCAAGUCUGAUCCAGCCAUGCCGCGUGCGGGAAGAAGGCCUUCGGGUUGUAAACCGCUUUUGUCAGGGAAGAAAAGUCUGGGGCUAAUACCUUCGGACGAUGACGGUACCUGAAGAAUAAGCACCGGCUAACUACGUGCCAGCAGCCGCGGUAAUACGUAGGGUGCAAGCGUUAAUCGGAAUUACUGGGCGUAAAGCGUGCGCAGGCGGUUCUAUAAGACAGAUGUGAAAUCCCCGGGCUCAACCUGGGAACUGCAUUUGUGACUGUAGAGCUGGAGUGCGGCAGAGGGGGAUGGAAUUCCGCGUGUAGCAGUGAAAUGCGUAGAUAUGCCGAGGAACACCGAUGGCGAAGGCAAUCCCCUGGGCCUGCACUGACGCUCAUGCACGAAAGCGUGGGGAGCAAACAGGAUUAGAUACCCUGGUAGUCCACGCCCUAAACGAUGUCAACUGGUUGUUGGGAAAGUUCCUUCUCAGUAACGUAGCUAACGCGUGAAGUUGACCGCCUGGGGAGUACGGCCCCAAGGUUGAAACUCAAAGGAA